rnacentral:rRNA from 1 species
CCUACGGGAGGCAGCAGUGAGGAAUAUUGCGCAAUGGAGGCAACUCUGACGCAGCCAUGCCGCGUGCAGGAAGAAGGCGCUACGCGUUGUAAACUGCUUUUAUCCGGGAAGAAACCCCAGGACGUGUCCUGGGUUGACGGUACCGGAGGAAUAAGCACCGGCUAACUUCGUGCCAGCAGCCGCGGUAAU